UUUUCCCGCCUUGAUAUUUCAAAUGCAGUUGUGUGAUCCGGUAUGUGUGGUCAAUUGUUUGCUUCCUUUGUUUUGUAGAGUGGAGAGUGAUAUCCCGGAUUGUGUGUGACGCCCGUGUUGUUUUGUCUCCUUUUGAAAGUCACAGGAUAUAUUAAGCUAGCGUGAGUGAGCGCUGAUGCACGGAGCUGAGUGGAGAGUGAUAUCCCGGAUUGUGUGUGACGCCCGUGUUGUUUUGUCUCCUUUUGAAAGAAUAAACCUCCAGUACUCGA